rnacentral:rRNA from 1 species
UAGUCAUAUGCUUGUCAUAAGGAUUAAGCCAUGCAUGUGUAAGAGUAAACCUUUAUACGGUAGAUCUGCGAACGGCUCAUUAAAUCAGUAACAGUUUACUUGAUGAAAUAUCUCAGGAUAACUGAGGUAAUUCUUCAGCUAAUACUUGUCAUGCUGGGUACCCCCCAGUGUGUAGAGUUUAAUCUGGACCACACCCGCAAGGGUUAGUCUGGAAGACAACUCAACUUCCGAUCGUAUAGCCUCGUGCUGACGACGGUUCAUCCAAAUUCCUGCCCUAUCAAACUUCGAUGGCACGGUCUUGGCCUGCCAUCUUAAUAACGGGUGACGGAGGAUUAGGGUUUGACCCCGGAGAGGGAGCCUGAGAGAUGGCUACCACUUCUAAGGAAGGCAGCAGGCGCGCAAAUUGCCCAAUGGUAACACAUUGAGGCAGCGACGUGAAAUAACAAUGCGAUUGCUAUGCAGUCGUAAUUGGAAUGAACUACAUUUAAAUCUCAAAAUAAGUAUCAAUUA